UACGUAGGUGACAAGCGUUGUCCGGAUUUACUGGGCGUAAAGAGCGCGCAGGCGGUCGAGUAAGUCGAAUGUGAAAGCCCCCGGCUUAACUGGGGAGGGUCAUUCGAUACUGUUCGACUUGAAGGCAGGAGAGGGCAGCAGAAUUCCCGGUGUAGUGGUGAAAUGCGUAGAUAUCGGGAGGAAUACCAGUGGCGAAGGCGGCUGCCUGGCCUGUUCUUGACGCUGAGGCGCGAAAGCGUGGGGAGCGAACAGG
rnacentral:rRNA from 1 species